UACGUAGGGUGCAGGCGUUAAUCGGAAUUACUGGGCGUAAAGCGUGCGCAGGCGGUUUCUUAAGUCAGAUGUGAGAGCCCCGGGCUUAACCUGGGAACUGCGUUUGAAACUGGGAGACUUGAGUGUGGCAGAGGGGGGUGGAAUUCCACGUGUAGCGGUGAAAUGCGUAGAGAUGUGGAGGAACACCAAUGGCGAAGGCAGCCUUCUGGGCCAACACUGACGCUCAUGCACGAAAGCGUGGGGAGCAAACAGG
rnacentral:rRNA from 1 species